rnacentral:tRNA from 1 species
GUAGUGGUGGUUUAGUGGUAGAAUUCUUGCCCUCCAUACAGAAGACCUGGGUUCAAUUCCUAGCCGAUGCA